rnacentral:rRNA from 1 species
UACGUAGGGUCCGAGCGUUGUCCGGAAUUACUGGGCGUAAAGAGCUCGUAGGUGGUUUGUCGCGUUGUUCGUGAAAACUCACAGCUUAACUGUGGGCGUGCGGGCGAUACGGGCAGACUUGAGUACUGCAGGGGAGACUGGAAUUCCUGGUGUAGCGGUGGAAUGCGCAGAUAUCAGGAGGAACACCGGUGGCGAAGGCGGGUCUCUGGGGCAGUAACUGACGCUGAGGAGCGAAAGCGUGGGGAGCGAACAG